AAUAAGAAGUGUGUGGGCACGGGAUGAAUAUUGUGAAGAAAGGAUUUGAAAAAAGAAGGUGCUGGAACUACCCCUGGGCUGUGUUCAGGAGAAAGCAACUUGAUGCCAAAAGAAACAGGAAGAUCCAGUCAAGGCAAAAUAAAGCAAAUGCACUAACAAGACUCUUCAAGCAGAUGUUGAACGUGACCUUCACUUCUACGAGCCCUAGAGAGCGAGCUAGAGACGAGAGGAAACAUGAUUUCUUCAGCUGCGUUUGGGAAUGAGACUGAAUAUCCAUUAGGUGCUGCUUCCCUCCUCUCACUCUUCUCAUCCACUCCCAUAUGGCAGGCGCAUGGAUCUGGGCAUAGGGAGAGAGUGAUAAAGAGGUCCCAUAUGUGUGUCUGUUUCUCUUUGUUAGUUCCCAAGCAAACAGAAGCCCUCUUCAGCAGAUUGAGUGAAAUGAACGUUGUUUUAGAUGUCCAGAUAUGUGGCCCUCAUUUGCAUAAGGAGCUCACAUCACAAGCGGUAGAAAUAUGAAGUUAGACUCUUAUAUUGAGUAGUGUGCUUUAAAGGGACUUCCUGAAUGCCACAAUGAAAGUUCUCUCUGGCAAAAAAAAUUGUUUUUUUUUUUUUUUUUCAAAAUAAGAUUUACUUGUUCAAAUACACCAUUUUAAUUUGAAAAUGUAUAUCCAGGCUUUCAUACAGUAUAUUUCAGCACAUUACCUAUAUAUUCUAUUUUAUUUGUCUUUUUUUAUUACACAAUGUUAAGAUUUACUUUUCAAAUACACCAUUUAAAUGUGAAUAUUUACAUACAGGCUUUCAUAUAGCACACUAUAAAGACACUAUAUAAUCUGUACAUUGCAUCACAACAACAUUUCAAUGACAAACAUUACCAUUCCAUGUCAAAUAAAUAAAUGGUAAAAAUGACAAAGUAUCAGAGUCUGAAUAUGAAGUUAACAUGAUAAACCCCCCUUUAAACACAAACCGGAAAAAAUAAUUAUCUAAAGACAAUCAAAAUACACAUAUGUUAGUUCAAUGUAUUCUAGAAUACAUGACAUGUAUGUAUAGGCUACCAAUAUGCAGCAUGAUUCUUCAUAGGGACUGAAUAGGUGUAUAACUACUGUAUCUACUGUUUACUAGGUGUAAAUGUUUAAUUUGAGAGGCCCAGAGGCUCAAAGUUCUUGAUUGACCAAUGUUAUUAGUUGAUAGUCAAAUGUCCCAGUGAGACUUCACUUGUUGUUUCUCCAGUACUUUCAUCAGAUAAAGAGUUGAUCAGAUGCAAAGCAAAGUCUGAUAUUUUGUCCCAAUCUUUUUUAAUGUUGACCACCACAUUUUGUUUCGUCUCAUCUUCAUAUGUUACUUCAGAAAUUGACUCCAGAUCACUUAUUGCGCCUUGAACCACAUA